rnacentral:rRNA from 1 species
UACGUAGGGGGCAAGCGUUGUCCGGAUUUAUUGGGCGUAAAGAGCGUGUAGGCGGCCAUACAGGUCCGUUGUGAAAACUGGAGGCUUAACCUCCAGACGUCGAUGGAAACCGUAUGGCUAGAGUCCGGAAGAGGAGAGUGGAAUUCCGAGUGUAGAGGUGAAAUUCGUAGAUAUUCGGAAGAACACCAGUGGCGAAGGCGACUUACUGGACACAUAUUGACGCUGAGGUGCGAAAGCGUGGGGAGCAAACAGG